AGAUAUCACGAGGAACACCGAUUGCGCAGGCAGCUUACUAAACCAUAACUGACGCUCAGGCACGAAGGCGUGGGGAUCAAACAGGAUUAGAUACCCUGGUAGUCCACGCAGUAAACGAUGAUUACUGGCUGUUUGCGAUAUACAGUAAGCGGCUGAGCGAAAGCGUUAAGUAAUCCACCUGGGGAGUACGUUCGCAAGAAUGAAACUCAAAGGAAUUGACGGGGGCCCGCACAAGCGGAGGAACAUGUGGUUUAAUUCGAUGAUACGCGAGGAACCUUACCCGGGCUUGAAAUGCAUCUGACAGGAGCAGAGACGCUCUCUCCCUUCGGGGCAGAUGUGUAGGUGCUGCAUGGUUGUCGUCAGCUCGUGCCGUGAGGUGUCGGCUUAAGUGCCAUAACGAGCGCAACCCUCAUCAUUAGUUACCAUCAGGUUAAGCUGGGGACUCUAAUGAGACUGCCAUCGUAAGAUGCGAGGAAGGUGGGGAUGACGUCAAAUCAGCACGGCCCUUACGUCCGGGGCGACACACGUGUUACAAUGGGUGGUACAAAGGGCAGCUACAUGGCGACAUGAUGCUAAUCUCCAAAACCACUCUCAGUUCGGAUCGGAGUCUGCAACUCGACUCCGUGAAGCUGGAUUCGCUAGUAAUCGCGCAUCAGCCACGGCGCGGUGAAUACGUUCCCGGGCCUUGUACACACCGCCGUCAAGCCAUGGAAGCCGGGGGUACCUGAAGUUCGUAACCGCAUACGGAGCGACCCAGGGU
rnacentral:rRNA from 1 species